rnacentral:rRNA from 1 species
AGUCAUAUGCUUGUCUGUAAGAUUAAGCCAUGCAAGUCUAAGUAUAAGCAUUUAUACUGUGAAACUGCAGAUGGCUCAUUAUAUCAGUUAUAGUUUAUUUGAUGGUAACUUUUUACAUGGAUAACCGUGGUAAUUCUAGAGCUAAUACAUGCGUAAAAACAUGACUCCGUUUCGGUGGGGAAGUGUUGUAUUUAUUAGAUUAAAAACCAAUGGCGCUUCGGCGUCUCUUUUUGGUGAAUCAUAAUAACUUUUCGAAUCGCAAGGUCUUGAACCGGCGAUAGUUCAUUCAAAUUUCUGCCCUAUCAGCUUUCGAUGGUAGUGUAGUGGACUACCAUGGCUUUAACGGGUAACGGAGAAUUAGGGUUCGAUUCCGGAGAGGGAGCCUGAGAAACGGCUACCACAUCCAAGGAAGGCAGCAGGCGCGUAAAUUACCCAAUCCCAAUUCGGGGAGGUAGUGACAAGAAAUAACAAUACCGGGCUCUAAGAGACUGGUAAUUGGAAUGAGAACAAUUUAAAAAACUUAUCGAAAGCAAC